rnacentral:rRNA from 1 species
UAGAGUUUGAUCCUGGCUCAGAUUGAACGCUGGCGGCAGGCCUAACACAUGCAAGUCGAGCGGCAGCGACUUAACUGAACCUUCGGGGAACGUUAAGGGCGGCGAGCGGCGGACGGGUGAGUAAUGCCUGGGAAUAUGCCCUGAUGUGGGGGAUAACUAUUGGAAACGAUAGCUAAUACCGCAUAAUCUCUUCGGAGCAAAGAGGGGGGCCUUCGGGCCUCUCGCGUCAGGAUUAGCCCAGGUGGGAUUAGCUUGUUGGUGAGGUAAUGGCUCACCAAGGCAACGAUCCCUAGCUGGUCUGAGAGGAUGAUCAGCCACACUGGAACUGAGACACGGUCCAGACUCCUACGGGAGGCAGCAGUGGGGAAUAUUGCACAAUGGGGGAAACCCUGAUGCAGCCAUGCCGCGUGUGUGAAGAAGGCCUUCGGGUUGUAAAGCACUUUCAGUAGGGAGGAAGGUAGUGUAGUUAACACCUGCAUUAUUUGACGUUACCUACAGAAGAAGCACCGGCUAACUCCGUGCCAGCAGCCGCGGUAAUACGGAGGGUGCGAGCGUUAAUCGGAAUUACUGGGCGUAAAGCGCAUGCAGGCGGCCUGUUAAGUCAGAUGUGAAAGCCCGGGGCU